AAUGAACGUUGGCGGCGUGGAUUAGGCAUGCAAGUCGAGCGAGAACCGUAGCAAUACGGGGACAGCGGCGAAAGGGAGAGGAACACGUGGGUACCUACCCUCGGAUCCGGGAUAGCCAUGGGAAACUAUGGGUAAUACCGGAUGACGUCUCCGGACCAAAGGUGUGAUUCCGUCCGGGGAGGGGCCCGCGUCCUAUUAGCUAGUUGGCGAGGUAACGGCUCACCAAGGCAAAGAUGGGUACGGGAUGUGAGAGCAUGAUCCCGCUCACUGGGACUGAGACACUGCCCAGACACCUACGGGUGGCUGCAGUCGAGAAUCUUCGGCAAUGGGGGCAACCCUGACCGAGCGACGCCGCGUGCGAGAUGAAGGCCUUCGGGUUGUAAAUCGCUGUCAGAGGGGAGGAAAUGCCGGUGGGUUCUCCCAUCGGUUUGACCUAUCCUCAGAGGAAGGACGGGCUAAGUUCGUGCCAGCCGCCGCCGUAAGAC
rnacentral:rRNA from 1 species